AGAGUUUGAUCCUGGCUCAGGAUAAACGCUGGCGGCGCACAUAAGACAUGCAAGUCGAACGAACUUAAUCGAUUCUUUUAGAUUCGAAGCGGUUAGUGGCGGACUGGUGAGUAACACGUAAGCAACCUACCUGUUAGAGGGGAAUAACAGUGAGAAAUCACUGCUAAAACCGCAUAUGCCGUGAACAUCGCAUGAUGAAAACGGGAAAAGAGCAAUCUGCUAAUAGAUGGGCUUGCGUCUGAUUAGCUAGUUGGUGUGGUAAAGGCAUACCAAGGCGACGAUCAGUAGCCGGACUGAGAGGUUGAACGGCCACAUUGGGACUGAGAUACGGCCCAGACUCCUACGGGAGGCAGCAGUCGGGAAUAUUGCGCAAUGGAGGAAACUCUGACGCAGUGACGCCGCGUAUGGGAAGAAGGUUUUCGGAUUGUAAACCAUUUUAGACAAGGAAGAAACAAGACAGUACUUGUAGAAUAAGCUCCGGCUAACUACGUGCCAGCAGCCGCGGUAAUACGUAGGGAGCAAGCGUUAUCCGGAUUUAUUGGGUGUAAAGGGUGCGUAGACGGGAAGGUAAGUUAGUUGUGAAAUCCCUCGGCUCAACUGAGGAACUGCGACUAAAACUGCUUUUCUUGAGUGCUGGAGAGGAAAGUGGAAUUCCUAGUGUAGCGGUGAAAUGCGUAGAUAUUAGGAGGAACACCAGUGGCGAAGGCGACUUUCUGGACAGCAACUGACGUUGAGGCACGAAAGUGUGGGGAGCAAACAGGAUUAGAUACCCUGGUAGUCCACACCGUAAACGAUGGAUACUAGGUGUAGGAGAUAUUAAGUCUUCUGUGCCGUCGCAAACGCAGUAAGUAUCCCACCUGGGGAGUACGGCCGCAAGGUUGAAACUCAAAGGAAUUGACGGGGGCCCG
rnacentral:rRNA from 1 species